rnacentral:rRNA from 1 species
CAAUAGCGUAUAUUAAAGUUGUUGCAGUUAAAAAGCUCGUAGUUGGAUUUCUGGGAGGGUGCCAAUGUCCGCUGAGGCGUGUGCAGCGGCGCCCUUCCAUCCUUCUGUUAACGUUUCAUGGUAUUCAGUUACUGGUUUCGGGCUCAGAUAUUUUACCUUGAGAAAAUUAGAGUGUUUCAGGCAGGCUUGCGCCGGAAUACAUUAGCAUGGAAUAAUAGAAUAGGACUUUAGUCUCUUUGUUGGUUUGAGGGACUAUGGUAAUGAUUAAUAGGGAUAGUUGGGGGCAUUAGUAUUUAAUUGUCAGAGGUGGAAUUCUCAGAUUUGUUAAAGACUAACUUAUGCGAAAGCAUUUGCCAAGGAUGUUUUCAUUAA